UGCGUAGGUGGCAAGCGUUGUCCGGAUUUAUUGGGUUUAAAGGGUGCGUAGGUGGGUUGGUAAGUCAGUGGUGAAAUCCCCGAGCCUAACUUGGGAACUGCCAUUGAUACUAUCAGUCUUGAAUACCGUGGAGGUCAGCGGAAUAUGUCAUGUAGCGGUGAAAUGCUUAGAUAUGACAUAGAACACCAAUUGCGAAGGCAGCUGGCUACUCGGAUAUUGACACUGAGGCACGAAAGCGUGGGGAUCAAACAGG
rnacentral:rRNA from 1 species